rnacentral:rRNA from 1 species
AUUGAACGCUGGCGGCAGGCCUAACACAUGCAAGUCGAGCGGAUGAAGGGAGCUUGCUCCUGGAUUCAGCGGCGGACGGGUGAGUAAUGCCUAGGAAUCUGCCUGGUAGUGGGGGAUAACGUCCGGAAACGGGCGCUAAUACCGCAUACGUCCUGAGGGGGAAGGUGGGGGUCUUUCGGACCUCACGCAUUCAGAUGAGCCUAGGUCGGAUUAGCUAGUUGGUGGGGUAAAGGCCUACCAAGGCGACGAUCCGUAACUGGUCUGAGAGGAUGAUCAGUCACACUGGAACUGAGACACGGUCCAGACUCCUACGGGAGGCAGCAGUGGGGAAUAUUGGACAAUGGGCGAAAGCCUGAUCCAGCCAUGCCGCGUGUGUGAAGAAGGUCUUCGGAUUGUAAAGCACUUUAAGUUGGGAGGAAGGGCAGUAAGUUAAUACCUUGCUGUUUUGACGUUACCAACAGAAUAAGCACCGGCUAACUUCGUG